CGAACGCUGGCGGCGUGCUUAACACAUGCAAGUCGAACGGAAAGGCCCCUUUGGGGGUACUCGAGUGGCGAACGGGUGAGUAACACGUGAGUAACCUGCCCUUGACUUCGGGAUAACUUCAGGAAACUGGGGCUAAUACCGGAUAGGAAUCCUUGCUGCAUGGUGGGGGUUGGAAAGCUUCGGCGGUUUUGGAUGGACUCGCGGCUUAUCAGCUUGUUGGUGGGGUAGUGGCUUACCAAGGCUUUGACGGGUAGCCGGCCUGAGAGGGCGACCGGCCACAUUGGGACUGAGAUAAGGCCCAGACUCCUACGGGAGGCAGCAGUGGGGAAUAUUGCACAAUGGGCGGAAGCCUGAUGCAGCAACGCCGCGUGCGGGAUGACGGCCUUCGGGUUGUAAACCGCUUUCAGCAGGGGCGAAGCUUGUGGUGACGGUACCUGCAGAAGAAGCACCGGCUAACUACGUG
rnacentral:rRNA from 1 species